UACGGAGGGGGCUAGCGUUGUUCGGAAUUACUGGGCGUAAAGAGCUCGUAGGUGGUUUGUCGCGUUGUUCGUGAAAACUCACAGCUUAACUGUGGGCGUGCGGGCGAUACGGGCAGACUGGAGUACUGCAGGGGAGACUGGAAUUCCUGGUGUAGCGGUGGAAUGCGCAGAUAUCAGGAGGAACACCGGUGGCGAAGGCGGGUCUCUGGGCAGUAACUGACGCUGAGGAGCGAAAGCGUGGGGAGCGAACAGG
rnacentral:rRNA from 1 species